GGAUGAGUAGUAGUAUUAGAGGAGUUGAGUGAGGUGAAGGAAGAGGAGCAGGUGGAGGAAGAUGAAGAGAAGGUGGUAAAGUGAAAGUUAUUUUCUCACCUGCCAGAAAAAGGAAAGGUUACAUCUUAUCAGACUGAAACCCAGCUUGGAAAUGGUGUAACCAGCAUGGCAACAGCACCGGAUCCGAGAAAACAUGGGUCCAAACAAGACGACAUCACAAGCACCGAACAACCCAUUGUUCAACCUGUAAGCGCGGCCCCUGCACAGCCUGAGCAGCCCGAACUGACCAUGUCUCAGCCCUACAAACAUCAGCAGCCUCUGCCCUGCAUCGUCACCACAUCCGUGGAUGGUGGUGAGGAUGCGGAGAGGGAUACAGUAAUGCUUGUUGCUGGUGAGGCAAUGGGGAGCAUUGGUGCAGCGACGGCUGAAGGGGUCGGGCAUUCUGUGUCACUGGAAGCUGCGACAACAGCAGCAGCAACAGCAACAGCAGCAGCAGCAGUAGCAGCAGCAAGCACAUCAGCAACAACAACAACAAUAGUGAAACGAAACACUGAAAGAAUGACAACAACAUCAGGAACGAUGACACCAACAACGUCAACAUCAACAACAGCUGGUCCACAACAACGACCCUCAAGAGUAGACCAAGUGGAGGCACAAAGAAGCAGUACAUCAUCCGACCAGACCUCACCCAAACGGAACAGUGCCCACAUUAUGGAAUUCUUUGAGGAACAGGAGAAAUCUUUCCAAGAACACUUUCGAACCCUGCCUGUACCAAUUAAAGUGAAGAAACACCGAUCUCCAAGUCCUAGCAUGAUGAGGCAAAGUGUUGGCCUCGAUCAUUUAGACAACUUGGUUCGGUUAAUGGAGCAACUCACUACCUUACGAGAUGAAAACAACAGACUCAAGAAAAAAUGCGCCUACCUAGAAAGCACAAAAUAUCUUCUCCAAGUGAGGAGCGAUAUGUCUGAAGAUGAAGCACCUCUGGGUUAUAUGUCCCUCCCUUCUAAAUCUAAACAGAAGCAACAGAAGGCCAUGAAAGACUCUAGAGAAGCGGUGUUCCCAGCAGCCGCAUCAGACUCACCUCGGCACCGACUAUCAAGUGGAGACAGUUCUCAACAUUUGGAAAUCAUUGAAACCGCCUCGGAUCAAACACCGAAGCGACCCAAAACAGCCAAACUGUAUAAGCGAAGUUUCUCGACUGGUUCUUUAGAAAUACCAUCCGACGUAAUUGAACAAGAUAAUUCCCAAGAGAUGACCAGAGUUAUAGUUAGCGACUAUAAUGGCAAAGAUUCGAAAUCGGGAUCAAAGUCGCCCGGCUCUAAGAAAAAAUCAUGUAAGUUCUCAAAAUGGGCCCGUGUUAAGAAAAUCCUAACUGGACAGAAGACGACUGUUGAUGACUCUGACAUGACAAGAAAAUCCUUAAAAAACUUGGGAAAAGGCAGCAGCCAAUUACCACAGCAGUCUGAGAGUAGCACUCAAGAACUGACUGUUCCAAUAGUUGGCUUGACUGAAACCCGUUCUAUGGACAGUGGGGUUAGUAGCGGCGUCGAUGGAGAUGGUAGGGAAGGUGUGAGGACAUCCACUUCUUCUGGUGGUCCUCCCAGUCCAUCAGCGUUGACUAAAGACGCACCAGCGGAUGCUUUAGACACUGGCACGGAGUGGUGGCGGUGGAGGGAAAAGACAAAACACACCAGUGUCAGCAAAGUAGCCGACAGUCAGGGCCAGUACCUGAAUGUGAAAGUGCUGGUGCGGCGCCAGUCAAGUCCAUCAUUGGUCGCCGAAGGAGGGGAAGAGAGUGACAAAACCGUUGAUGGAGAUGGUAGUUCUCCACGCCUCCAUCGAUCGGCGAGCUACAAAAUACCGGGCAAAGGGGAAGAGCCGGGCUCCAGGGAAAGGAAAAUGCAUAAAACGGCAUGGGGAAGGGUGAAAGGCAUAAUCCACACAAAAAAGGACAGUGUUAAGAAAAAACACAAAAAGUCAGAGAAAACAAUUCCGACUGAAGAACCUUCGGAAACAGACACGGAAACAGAGUGUUUCAGUUACGGCUCUUCAGAACUGGCCAAGAAACAACUGAAGACCGGCUCUGAGAGUAAACCUAGCACACCACAACUUUCACCAUCGUUAUUUCACCAACAGAGCUCCAUCAAAUCGUCUGGCAGCGAAUCAUCCAAAUCGAAACACAGUUCUGCCAGGAAGAAGCUACCACAUAGCGGUAAGGUGGAUGUGGAGGCUUUAGUAGGUGGAAUGACAGAAGACUUUACGAAAAAGAUGAAACAAUGGGAAGAAUUAAAGUGUAUGCAGGCCACAGGCUUCGCCAAAGGAGCUGAGUGGAAGCUGAGUGGAAGCACCAUCCAACCAAUCCUGAAGGAUGCAACAAAAAGGACUGUUGAGUGGGAGCAAACCAAAGGCAAAGGCCAUGGCCCAGUUCAGAAGCUGAAAUGGGAGUCUGGUAGUUUAAGUGAAAAAGUAACCGAUGGGGCUGCCUCUCCCUCUCCUUCACCAUCUCCUUCUUCAACUGAUGCUAAGACCGCAAUCACAACUACAACACCAACCACCACCACUACUACUAGUACCACUAGCAUUUCUAGUACUGGUACAACAACAACCAUCACCACUACUACAACAACCACCCCCAGUUCCAUGGCAAUGACGUCUGCUAGUACCAGUCCUGCCAUGACACCCUCACCGGUCAAUGUGGAUGAGCUACAACGCAACCUGACAGAGAGCUUCUCUAGGAAGAUUCAGGAAUGGGAAAGCAUUAAAUAUCGGAAGGAGGGCAGCCCCUUGUUGUCAUCCAGCUCAAGAAGCCGAAAAGAAGGUAAAUACAAACUGAAGAAGUCAAAAUCCGAAAAAGAAAAGGACAAAGAAAAGGAAAAAGAGAAAGAAAAAAGUUCCAAGUCUGAGAAAAGUAAAGGAAAAGAUGGUGAAAAAUCAAAGAAAGGGUCCGUCUCUGCUGAAAAGGGUCGCCAGAGGCGGUCAACGAGCAAAAGUGAAAAGGAACAGGCUGGUCAGCUUGACUUUGAUCCUAAGCUGGCAGGUACAAUGCUCGGACCACUGGCGGAAUACAAGAUCACCGAUGAGUUUGCACACAAACUGUACGAGUGGGAAGAAAUGAAAGGAUUGUCCCACGAGCUCUCCGCCGCUGUCUUCCAGGUGUGUUCGUCACCAUUGAUGACGACAUCUACACCCCAACAACAACCACCACCAUCGUCACAACCAUCUUCUGCUGCUGUGGCCCCAACGGCUGCCAUCACCUCAACAACAACAACCACAACUACUGCUGCUGCUGCUGCUGCUGUUGUUGUUUCUGCCACACCGGCCGAAGAUGAAAUGCCACGGGGCAAGCAGCAGAAACAGAAACCCAGCCCACUGACCCUGACCUGCAGCUGGGAUUCACCCGAUGAAGCGUCACCUGUCGACCGAUUCUUCCUCUACUCCUCGUCUGAGACAAGUUUUGACGAGAGUGGAACCACCGAGCAGAGCAUGACAAAGACAAACAUCAUCAGCCUAGAAAAUGCCCACCACCGACUACUGCAAGAUCUGGAAGAUAAAAAACAAGAAUAUGUUCAGGUCCAAGAAUCGGUCAGGAAACUUCAUGGGAAGCUAGAGAAAUUCAAAGAUGCACAUUCCAAAGAAAUAGUUCGAUUCAGGAAAGAAAUGUUAUUAAGUAAGAAACCGAUGGGAAAACUGCGAGAGCAAGAAAGUGGUGCCCUCUACAAUACACUGCAGAAGCUGGAAGGUAAAAUUCAGGAACUGGAAAAUUCCGGAGAAAAGCUCCAAUUGUCUAUGGAAAGUGCUGCGAUGUGUAAGUUACUGAGUAUGGAGGGUGAAGAGAACAUCAGCUCUCGCCUCGUGGAACUGAUGGAACAGAUGAAGUUUAUGCUGGCAAAGGCUUCUCAAGAAGAAGAAGUUUCUAAGAAGUCUUCGGCCUUGAGCAAUUUUGAAAAGUUUUACUGCCACGCAAUGCAGUUGCAAAUACAGAUGAAUAACCUGCGCUUGAGUCAUCUGGAGCGUAACAAGGAAAUCAUGGAGAUGAAGAGGCAGCUGCUUCUGCAGGAAGUGAACAACCUCCUGCUGCAGGCAGACAUUACACGGCGAGAGUCAGAGUUGUACCAGUUCCAAGAGGCGAGACGCACAUCGCAGCUGAAACGGUGGAACACGUAUCAUGGAGGAACAGAGCAAAGACCACGAGUGGCGAAUCGCAGAGAAUGUGAAGCCUCGCCUCCGUUCCAUCGUUUUGUCAGCAUGAAAGAAAGAAGCAAGGAGCUAUACAGGGAUGCUGACAUGCAGUCGACGCGAGAAACAUCUCUACCAGACACCUUUGACCAAGGAGGACUGAAGCAGAGUCGUGCUGGUAGUUUGACUGAAAUUCGAUUUGAUCCUAAAUCUACCAUGGGUCAUAUCAAUGGAUCUGGUCCUCAGCUACAGUAUAGAUCCAGUUCUACCCCUUUUAUGGAUUCCCUGGUGCCUAGUAUGGAACAAACUCCAAUAAGAAUGGCACCAGAAGGGGAAACACAUCGCACAAGCUUCAUCUCAACACUUUCACCGAGUGAUGCAGAAUUGAUAUCAAGAAUUCCCGAUGGGGCAUCUCAGGAGAUUGAACCCAUUACCACUCCAGCCACAAUCAGUCACGACAUCCAUGAUUCGGAUCAAUCUCGUUUACAAAUUUCUUUCACUAUUUCUCUUCCGACAAUGAACGUGCAAAUCCCGCAAACGAUCACCACAUCCCCACAUGAGACCAGCUCCAUCAGCUCACAGUGCUUGUUAUGUAAAACAGCUUCGGUUCAAAGACAUGUGAGUGGCACUGCAGCCAUCGACACGAUGACGGAACCAACUACAGCAGGUCUCGGUGCCAGCACAAGCGAACAGAUUGGCAAAUUUCACCAGGGUGAGACACUCGCUGAUUGGUUGAAGAGAGAACCGAAAUGUCCAGAACUCCUCCUUCCAGAAUGUCCUCACAGUAAAGAUAUCAUUGCUGUACAACAAUCGAUGUUUGGUGAAGAACUGCCAACCGAAACAUCAUCUCUGGAAGAAGGGCAGACAAGUAAACAAAAAGGAUCAUCAUCCCCGUACUUCAAACCAACCGUUAAAAGCAAAGCAGCCCCUGUAUGCAGGGAUCAGUUGAUAAGCCAGACAUAUCCCCGCCAACCAACUGAAGGACAACAAAGCUCUCCUAAUGUGCCCUUCACAGCUCAGGCUGAAAAAUCAGACAAGAAAUCAUCAACAUUUACAGAAGAUCUUCCGUCAAGCUCUGACAAAAAAACACACCGUGAUCCACAAACAGAAGACAGGAAAAUAAAGUCAGGUAAAAGUCCAAAAAGAGAAAAACAAGGACCUUCCCCCGAGAGUCCAGCAUUAAGACUCUCACAAACUUCAAGUCCAACAGGACCAAAUGUGGCAUCUCCUCCACAAGUCGGAGUUGUGUCUCCAAUACGAAGACUCAAGCCGGCCACAGAAUUACUUGAGGAAUGCCAGAAAUACAGAUUGGGACAUUUAGCCCAUCACACCCGAGGCUAUCUCAGAGGUGCUCGUUUAGAAGACCCAAGUAAAAAGGUCGCCGAGGAAAUGAGUGCAAAGAGGCUGGAAAAAGAGAACAUAUCUGAAGGUUAUGUCGAAGUCGUUGCCAAAAGGCUUUCUGGAGAAGGAAUGCCAGCGCAAAGUCUUGGGUCAAGUGAGUGCACACCGAAAGCAGGGUCAGUCAUCUCAUUACAUUCUUCUGAUUCACCACGUUCACUGACCAAAUUUGGCUCUCACAUCUUCUACAACACACCGAGUGGUCAAGCUGAACUUCAUCCGCAACAGAAACUGUCGUCCUGGGUUGAAGCAGAAACUGAACCCGGAAAAGAGCAACUAGUUGAGCCUGCUGCAAAAGAGCAGCCAGUUGAGCCCACCACUGCUGCAGCUGGAGUCACCUAUCGAAAGAAAGCGGAUGGAGCUCAGGAGGAAGUGCCAUCGGCAUUGUUGACUACUCGGAGGAGGUCUUUGGAAGUGCCAAGGUCUAGUGAAUCCCAGAUUGAACUUCAAUCCUACAGCAGGUCAUCGAUGAACCUUGAUGGUAGGUCGCCAAAAGAAGGCAAACCAGAUUCAACUAUAAGUGUAUCCAAUUCUUUUUCGCUGCCUGUCUUAUCUUCUGGUGAGGCACAAGGGAAUGGUGCCGCGAGCAGAUCAGCAACUUGCAGUGCACUAAGUGAGAUAUUAUCCGAAGAUCCGGCAAAAACACCUCAACAGCCAUCAUCAAAAGAGGUGCCAUCAAUUAAGCAGAUAGGAGGUUCGAUAUUCUAUGUAGGUUCGCUGGAAUCCAGUUUGCCGGAAAUUUCCGAAAGUGUGGUGGAGAAAAGCUCAAAAAAGAAAGGUCACCGAAAACAGCGAACCAAAGCCGGACAACCGGCAUCAGCACCGCCACCUCCACUACCACCACCACAACCCUCCUCUAGCAGACGAACAGGCAAAACUAAAAAGGGGACCAUUGGAGAGCUUUGUAUGCAAAGUAUGACCUUUGACCUCGGCAUAUCAACUACAACAGCAACGCCGAAAGGGUCAGCGGGAGAAAAAGAAGGGGAUGAGGCUGAAGAGUCUAGUCUAGAACAGAGAGAAGAAGGGGCUGCUGCUGCUGCUGUUUGCAAAGGCCCCCCAGAAACUGAAGAAGUCAUCGUUUCUGAGGACGAGGAAAGUUUAACAAGUCUCCAGUCGAGCGACAAAAGGAAACCACGAAGUCGAUUCUUCGAUUCCAACUGGUUUUGCAAGUCAAAGAAAUUAUUCAAAGUUUCAAAGUGAGAAAACCCAGAUUAUGAAACUGCCAUCUCUACUCAAGGUGUCUCUCACAAUGGAAGAUUUCAAAAGAAGCUUGGAGAAAUCCCAGCAGGCAGUCACACAUUGUCAUCGGUGACUAGUGAAGAAAGGGGCCAGUGUUUUGGUGAAAGAAAGGGAAAAACAAAGACAAAAACAAAAAAAUAAAGGUCCACUGCUUGGUUUUGGUGACAUUCCAUUGGGUCAGCGAUAGGAAGGGCUGCAAAGCAAGGGGAGGCAACUCAAUGCGCCUUGCAUGCUUGCAUCUGAUCUCGGAUCGUCUUUUUGCUUCGUCCAGCCAAGACGUAGCCAUAAAGGAGAGAAAAAAUAGCACCGCCCCAACACCCACCACCACCCCUUAAAUCCCCCCAACCCCCUUCACACACAAACAUACACAUCACCGCCUCCAUCACCACCCGACCCACCAACCCCCACACCCGACUUCGGAGAUCAUACUCCAUCCCCCUGCCCGCCCGCUCGCUACGUCUCCCACCCAGACUCCCGGCCCCGCUCCUUGCAGCAGAAGAAGAAAAGGGGUAGAGAAGAAGAGACAGUAAGAGAACGAGGGAGAGAACGAGAGAGAGAGAGAGAGAUGCAGUGAGAGAGAGAGAGAGAGAGAGAGAGAGAGAGAGAGAGAGAGGUAUAUGAAUAUAAAAACGUAAAACAUGCUGCUAAGCUCACUGAACCCACACAAUGGCUGAUUAAGGACCCAAUACUGGUCCCUCAGUUAUGUAAUUUAGUAAUUUGAUUGAUUGGUUAUUGGUUUCAGACGUCUAUAUCAUUUUGUGAGCUUUCUGAUUCCUAUCACUAAUUCACGACUAAUGAUUUAUAGCAUGGAAUAAUCAGUCACUCGAACCAUUGUUUUUGGAUUAUCUCAGAUGCUGAUAAUCCGUACUGAUCUAUUUUCAAUCAGUAAUUUAUUGAUCUUUGAUCUCUGUUCAUAUCUUUUACUGAUCAAGAGAUUUAUAAAAAGGGCCAUAAACAGAAAUAAAUUAUUUUAAGGAAUAAUCUCUGAAUAUUAAACAGUUUGAAAAAAAUAUAAAAUAAAACUUUCAAAAUGUUUUUUCAUGAGAGUCCUGAAAGGGGUUAUGAACAAAACCCUUUUUUCCUCAAGGGCAGGAUAUAUUAGUCUUAGAAGAUUAAGGUUUCAUUAAUUCUACUUUAAGGAAAACUAAUUAUUGAAUUGCUAAUGAGUUGAUUAUGUUGAUGACCUUUUAGGGUCACAUUACAGAAAUGGAUAAAAAUAAUAUUAAGCAUUUAAUUCUAGGAGUUCAGCCAAACUGGGAACAGAAAAAGCCUUUCUGUCCCCUUUUUUUCCAACAUGUUCCCACUUGGGGGCAAUGGAUUGGGGUUUUUUUAAGCACCAAAGAACAGCAACAACAACAACAAAACUAUUUUCAGAUUUUCUCGAUGUUGCAAAUAAUAUUAUUUUAAUGAAACAGCUGGCUGUGAGAAUGUUCUUCUGUUAUUAGAAAGAGCAAAAUUAGAUGAAGGAAUAUAAUUAGAUAAUCUUUAAUAUUAAACACUUUUAGAAAUAGAAAACUGUUUUCAAGCAAUGCUUGUAAUGUCGGUUAAGGACAACUUCAUAGGAGAGGACCAUUAUGGAGAGUCUUCGAAUUAAGUGGAUAAAUAGAACUCCAUUUUAUUUUGUUUAUUUAUUUUAUCAUCUGGUAAUAAACACUUGAAACACAAAGAUGUAGAGAAGGUGGUUCCUUAAGUUUACAACAAAUAUUGACCACUUAGCAUUGAGGUGAGGACGAGGGUCUUAUUGCACCCAAAACUAUAUCAGUUGCAAGGUUUUCUAGUCUAAGGAACUGUUAAGUCGUUAGUCGCAAACAGCCAUUUACAAACAUUCAUCUGGAUAUCUAUAUGUCCGGUGGCCAUUUAUUAUUUGUCCAGCAUGUGUUGCAACCAUUGCCCCCUCCACCACCACCACCACCACCACAACUACCAUCAUAUCACCACCGCCGCCGCCACCACCGCCACCACCAUACACCUCCUGAAUCUACCAACUCAAAACAGUAACAACAAGUGAAAAAAAAAAUCAAAAAAGAAACCACCAAAACAUACAAAAUGAUAAACAACCAGAAAACCCUUUAAAAAAAUUGGGGACAGUGGAGAGAUGAGAGAAAGGGAGUGGGUGGGGGGGAAGCAUAGACAGUGUCUGCUGUCAGAGUGCUCUCCCUUGUCCCUCUCCCUAACAAACUCGGGUCACUUUGGGUUCUUACCUGAAACCCCACAGGGCAAUCAACGGGAGUAAAAGGUAAGGGCCACCACCACAGUGGAACAAAUUCAGUUCCAAAAUGUGGCAGACAGAACUGAAUACCAGAUGAGACAAUGGUAUAUAAGGAAAAAGGUGACCUCUCUACGUCGUCCCCGUCCCCCAGAAAGGGUCAAAAGUCAUGGAAUAUGUCUAAUUGUGUCAUGAAACACAACAUCAAGAAGAACAACAAAUGGAAACAAAAUGUUAAGUAAAGAAAAGGAAAAAGAAAUACUAAGAAUAAGACACGACCCACCCCCGCCCCGCCCCCGCCCACACGAGGGUGGGGGGAGGGGGGCGCUCCUAUUUGUCUUUUUUUUUCCUCUUUACAGAAACGAAUCGAAACAAGACAUUAAAUGUAAAUAACGAUCAA